rnacentral:rRNA from 1 species
GACAGCAGCAGCCGCGGUAAUACAGAGGGUGCGAGCGUUAAUCGGAUUUACUGGGCGUAAAGCGUGCGUAGGCGGCUUUUUAAGUCGGAUGUGAAAUCCCUGAGCUUAACUUAGGAAUUGCAUUCGAUACUGGGAAGCUAGAGUAUGGGAGAGGAUGGUAGAAUUCCAGGUGUAGCGGUGAAAUGCGUAGAGAUCUGGAGGAAUACCGAUGGCGAAGGCAGCCAUCUGGCCUAAUACUGACGCUGAGGUACGAAAGCAUGGGGAGCAAACAGGAUUAGAUACCCCCGUAGUCCCUGUCUCUUAUAU